UCCGUAGCUGGACUGAUAAGUCUCUUGGGAAAUCCGCCGGCUUAACCGGCGGGCGUCCAGGAGAUACUGUUGGUCUAGGGACCGGGAGAGGUGAGAGGUACUCCGGGGGUAGGAGUGAAAUCCUGUAAUCCCUGGGGGACCACCGAUGGCGAAGGCAUCUCACCAGAACGGCUCCGACAGUGAGGGACGAAAGCUGGGGGAGCGAACAGGAUUAGAUACCUGGUAGUCC
rnacentral:rRNA from 1 species